AUGAACGCUGGCGGCGUGCCUAAUACAUGCAAGUCGAGCGAACAGACGAGGAGCUUGCUCCUCUGACGUUAGCGGCGGACGGGUGAGUAACACGUGGAUAACCUACCUAUAAGACUGGGAUAACUUCGGGAAACCGGAGCUAAUACCGGAUAAUAUAUUGCACCGCAUGGUUCAAUAGUGAAAGACGGUUUUGCUGUCACUUAUAGAUGGAUCCGCGCCGCAUUAGCUAGUUGGUAAGGUAACGGCUUACCAAGGCAACGAUGCGUAGCCGACCUGAGAGGGUGAUCGGCCACACUGGAACUGAGACACGGUCCAGACUCCUACGGGAGGCAGCAGUAGGGAAUCUUCCGCAAUGGGCGAAAGCUUGACGGAGCAACGCCGCGUGAGUGAUGAAGGUCUUCGGAUCGUAAAACUCUGUUAUUAGGGAAGAACAAUUGUGUAAGUAACUAUGCACGUCUUGACGGUACCUAAUCAGAAAGCCACGGCUAACUACGUG
rnacentral:rRNA from 1 species